UCUAGUAAGUUGCUUACAAUCGCAGUUGCAAUCAAUAAGAUUACCAAUAACACCGCAAAUAUGAAAACUACGCUGCUUUUGCUGGUCCUGGCAUUAUUUUACAUUUGCCACGUCACUAAUGCCUACGAUAGUGAGUCUUGUGAUGCACCACCCUCUACCACUGGCCUUGGCAGAGGGUUUAGUUUUAAGUUCACGUAUAUCAAAAGAACCCGACAAUGCGUAAGCUUUUUAUGGGGAGGUCAAGGCUACACAAAUAACUUCUUCGCGAAUGAGGACAUGUGCAAAAAAGCCUGUUUGUCUUAAUAUGUAAAUAAGCAAUAGUUUACAUAUGAAAAAUUUUAAACCAGAUAAAAAAAUGUCAAUCUUGAGUUUUCAGCAAUAAGAAAACCGCAGUACAAAAGUAAUUCAAA